CCUACGGGAGGCAGCAGUGGGGAAUCUUGCGCAAUGGGCGAAAGCCUGACGCAGCAACGCCGCGUGCGGGAAGAAGGCUUUCGGGCUGUAAACCGCUUUCAGCAGGAACGAAAAUGACGGUACCUGCAGAAGAAGGAGCGGCCAACUAUGUGCCAGCAGCCGCGGUGAUACAUAGGCUUCAAGCGUUGUCCGGAUUUAUUGGGCGUAAAGAGUUCGUAGGCGGUCGAGUAAGUCGGGUGUGAAAAUUCUGGGCUCAACCCAGAGACGCCACCCGAUACUGCUUGACUUGAGUUCGAUAGGGGAGUGGGGAAUUCCUAGUGUAGCGGUGAAAUGCGCAGAUAUUAGGAGGAACACCGGUGGCGAAGGCGCCACUCUGGAUCGAUACUGACGCUGAGGAACGAAAGCAUGGGUAGCAAACAGGAUUAGAUACCCUGGUAGUCCAUGCCGUAAACGGUGGGCACUAGGUGUGGGUUUCUAUUAACGAAAUCCGCGCCGUCGCUAACGCAUUAAGUGCCCCGCCUGGGGGAGGUACGGUCGCGAGACGUAAACGUACGAAGAAGUAAGUACGGCGUUGAGACGUUGCCGAACGGACGACGACGAGGGAGGAGG
rnacentral:rRNA from 1 species